GUUUGAGUAUUUAUAUAAGUGGUCCCACACUACCCCCUUGGGUUGAUGAUUUGAACAAACUUGGAUCUACACUACCCUAGGAUACUCCUAAAUUAAUAAGAAUAAUCAUUGUUUUGCUGUUAUUGAAAAGACGAUUUUUCAAGAUACAUGUGUUGCCUAUAUUUUUGUAUGUAAAGCUUUGAUGCCCCACUCUACCCCCUGGGUUCAUGAUUUGAACAAACUUGUAUCUACACUACAUGAAGAUGCUUCUGUAUUUUGAUGAUAAAUCAAACCUUUGCUGUUCUUAGAAAAAAAGAUUUAAUAUACAUUUUCUAGAUAAUUCCUAUAUGUAAACUUUUGAUCGUCUGUUGUGGCCCCAUCCUACCACCUGGGGUCAAGAUUUGAACAAAAUCUUGAAUCUACACCAAGUAAUAUAGCUUGCACACAAGUUUCAUCUUUUCUGGCCCAGUGGUUCUUGGGAAGAAGGUAUUGAAAAGAUCCCAUCAAAUUAUCAUUAAUUCUUAAUUAUCUACCCUUGGAAUGAGGCAUGGCUCAUGGUUAUUGAGAAGUUGAAAAUUGUAAAAAUUUACAGACGACAAACAACAGAUGACACACGACAGAUGGACGCCAGACACCUUUGAUUAGAAAAGCUCACUAGAGCCGUCAGCUCAGACAGCAGCUCCACAGUUUCCACAAAAUUUAUUUGUGGGAAGCAACCUCUCUCCACAAUCCACACAAAACAUUACUGUGAAAUAAAAUCAUUACAUCAUUAUAUUUCCUUUUAGGAGUGACAUGAGAUUAUUGAUCAUUAAUCACUGUUUGCUAUCUUCACCUUUUCAUACAAUAUUCAAUAAGAUUACAAUCAACUGUAACUUUAGUCACAAAAUGAAUGAAUAUAAAACUCAUCAGCCCGACCCUUAUGUGAUUGUAAUUAUAAUUGCUGAUAUGCAUUCUGGGUGCCUUAAAGAUAUUUUAAUCUAGCAAGAACCUAAUACUGGAAGUGAACCUAAUAAUAUCCCGAUUAUUACACACACACACACACAAACAAGUACACACGCACAAACGCCUCUUGAAGAGAAAGAAACAAGUUGUACUCAGUCUGACAGAGCUCCAGAUAAAGUGCGUAUCAGCGUAAAUACUCAUUAAAUUUUACCAAAUACGCAUUAAAGUUUAAAAUCAGGCGUACAAUUACGCAUUCGCGAAUGUAAAUACGCUUUACACUCCUAAAGUCAUGCGUAGAGGUAACUCAAUACACAACUGUAUAAGCCUAACGGGUAAUUAUUAUACUUCUUUCUUAAAUAAACAGGUAGGGUGCGAUCGAAAGCAGAUGAAAACUUAUAUCAUAAAUCGUAAACGAUUGAUUGGUGGCACAGAAAAUGGUACAGGACAAACGAUAUAUAUUUCUUCUGUUAAACUUACUAAGUUUUUACUGAAGUGUCGCUCCUGCAGCAUUGUCUUGCUAACUAUUUGAAAGUAUUUGCAAGAAUGGGAGUCACGCAUUUAUUUUUACCUACUUCCGUCACACAUGCACUUGUUUUACACAGAUGGAGGAAAACCAAUUCUUGGUUAACGGUACAAGGUUAGGGGAAUCCGGGGAGAGUAAUUUGCAGUGAAAACAAGGUGCAAAAAUAUAUAUAUGGGCAGAAUUAGGUUCGUCUAAAUUUUAAAAAAAUUAAUGCUUUAGAAAGUCACAAAAACUUUAGACUUUGAAACUGGUAUGUUUUGGUUUAAAAUGAUUUUAGUUUCUCGGUUAUAACACUUCAAUUUACAAUAUGACAAAUAGUUUUGUUGUUUGUUUGGUGCUUAUGAAAUUUUUUCAACACUGUACACACAAUCACAGGGGAUUCUUAUCCAUUUUGUUCUCAAUUUAUAUGCUAUAUAUAAAUUAUAUAUAGAUUGAGAACAAAAUGAAUAAGAAGACCCUGUGGUACAAUAAAUGAUUGUAUGUUUACGGGUGAAAAUUCUCUGUAGUUCUUUUAUCAUAAAGUCUUCAUUAACAUUGGGAUUUUGAAAUUUAUUGUUGAGGUAUUAAAUUUUAAAAUGCCAGACACACAGACAUAUGAUAUCUGAUUAUAUUUAGACUAAGUGAUAAAAUUUUGUAUUAGUGGCAAACAGCAAAUAUAAUCAGUGCUAAAAUAUUUCAUCACUCUGUCACAACUAGGAUUAUGUACAAUAUUAUAAAUAUUGUUCUAAUUUUCUCUUUUGGAACAUACCAUUGCUACAAGGGGAUUAUCAUAUGAAUUUAAUUUUUUUUUUAAAUUAGAUAGGUGCGCAUGGUGGUGGUGGUGGUGGGGUUAAAUUAUCAUUAUAUUGAAAUGCAUUUUAUGUUCAAAGGCAGUGCUGUUUAAACCCAAUUUUACAAACUUGAAAGGUUUGGGCAUUUUUAUUAUACAAUUCGUAACUUGAAAAGAUUGAG